UUUGAGAAAAAGCUAGGGGGGGGGAGGGGGGGAUAAACGUUUGUUACCCCCCUUUUUCGAUUCUGAAAAAUUUUGGAGAAACGAAAGUAAGCCCGAAUCCUUUUUUUUUCCCCAUGAAAGAAUUUAAAAAACCAGAAACUAUUUGGGGUUGAAAGAGGCCUUGCGGGCCCUUAAUUAGUUGGUGGGGUAACGGUUCCCCAGGGCGCGGUGGGUAGCCGACCUGAGAGGGUGAACGGCCCACCGGGGGAUUGAGACCGGGCCCAGGAUUCUUGGGGAGGCAGCAGUAGGGAUUCUUCCGCAAUGGACGCAAGUCUGACGGAGCAACGCCGCGUGAGUGAUGAAGGUUUUCGGAUCGUAAAGCUCUGUUGCCCUAGACGAACAGCAUGAAGAGUAACUGCUCUGUGUGUGACGGUAUAGGAGAAGAAAGCCCCGGCUAACUACGUGCCAGCAGCCGCGGUAAUACGUAGGGGGCAAGCGUUGUCCGGAAUUAUUGGGCGUAAAGCGCGCGCGGGCGGUUCGUUAAGUUGGGUGUUUAAGCCCGGGGCUCAACCCCGGUUCGCAUCCAAAACUGGCGAACUUGAGUGUAGGAGAGGAAAGUGGAAUUCCACGUGUAGCGGUGAAAUGCGUAGAGAUGUGGAGGAACACCAGUGGCGAAGGCGACUUUCUGGCCUAUAACUGACGCUGAGGCGCGAAAGCGUGGGGAGCAAACAGGAUUAGAUACCCUGGUGGUCCACGCCGUAAACGAUGCUUAUUAGGUGUGGGGGAUUGGAUUCCUCGGUGCCGAAGUUAACCCAGUAAGUAUGCCGCCUGGGGAGUACGCUCGCAAGAGUGAAACUCAAAGGAAUUGACGGGGACCCGCCCAACCAGUGGAGUAUGUGGUUUAAUUCGAAGCAACGCGAAGACCCUUACCAGGUCUUGACAUCCCUCUGAAUCUCCUAGAGAUAGGGUCGUCCUUCGGGCCAGAGGAGACAGGUGGUGCAUGGUGGUCGUCAGCUCGUGUCGUGAGAUGUUGGGUUAAGUCCCGCAACGAGCGCAACCCUUGAUUUUAGUUGCCAGCACUUCGGGUGGGCACUCUAAGAUGACUGCCGGUGACAAACCGGAGGAAGGUGGGGAUGACGUCAAAUCAUCAUGCCCCUUAUGACCUGGGCUACACACGUACUACAAUGGUCGGUACAACGGGAAGCGAAGCCGCGAGGUGGAGCGAAUCCUUAUAAGCCGAUCUCAGUUCGGAUUGCAGGCUGCAACUCGCCUGCAUGAAGUCGGAAUUGCUAGUAAUCGCGGAUCAGCAUGCCGCGUAAUCCCCC
rnacentral:rRNA from 1 species